GUCUACGGACAUGCCACCCUGAACAAGCCGGAUCCCAUCUGAUCUCAGAAGCUAAGCAGAGUGGAGCCUGGUUAGUAGUUGGAUGUGGGACCAUCUAGGAAGACCAGGUGCUGUAGGCA
rnacentral:rRNA from 1 species